rnacentral:rRNA from 1 species
GUCGAACGGGAAACAUUUUAUUGAAGCUUCGGCAGAUUUAGCUUGUUUCUAGUGGCGGACGGGUGAGUAACGCGUGGGUAACCUGCCUUAUACUGGGGGAUAACAGCCAGAAAUGACUGCUAAUACCGCAUAAGCGCACAGGACCACAUGGUUCGGUGUGAAAAACUCCGGUGGUAUAAGAUGGACCCGCGUUGGAUUAGCUAGUUGGCAGGGCAGCGGCCUACCAAGGCGACGAUCCAUAGCCGGCCUGAGAGGGUGAACGGCCACAUUGGGACUGAGACACGGCCCAGACUCCUACGGGAGGCAGCAGUGGGGAAUAUUGCACAAUGGGGGAAACCCUGAUGCAGCGACGCCGCGUGAAGGAAGAAGUAUCUCGGUAUGUAAACUUCUAUCAGCAGGGAAGAUAAUGACGGUACCUGACUAAGAAGCCCCGGCUAACUACGUGCCAGCAGCCGCGGUAAUACGUAGGGGGCAAGCGUUAUCCGGAUUUACUGGGUGUAAAGGGAGCGUAGACGGCGCAGCAAGUCUGAUGUGAAAGGCAGGGGCUUAACCCCUGGACUGCAUUGGAAACUGCUGUGCUUGAGUGCCGGAGGGGUAAGCGGAAUUCCUAGUGUAGCGGUGAAAUGCGUAGAUAUUAGGAGGAACACCAGUGGCGAAGGCGGCUUA